GCCUACGGGGGGCAGCAGUGAGGAAUAUUGGUCAAUGGUCGGGAGACUGAACCAGCCAAGCCGCGCGAGGGAUGAAGGUACAGAGUAUCGUAAACCUCUUUUGUCAGGGAACAAAGGCGGGGACGCGUCCCCGGGUGAGUGUACCUGAAGAAAAAGCAUCGGCUAACUCCGUGCCAGCAGCCGCGGUAAUACGGAGGAUGCGAGCGUUAUCCGGAUUUAUUGGGUUUAAAGGGUGCGCAGGCGGUCUGUUAAGUCAGCGGUCAAAGCCCGGGGCUCAACCCCGGCCCGCCGUUGAAACUGGCAGU
rnacentral:rRNA from 1 species